GGGAGCGCGGGCGCGCGCCCGCGUCCGCGCACUGAGAGUCGCCUCGGCCGCUCGCUUUCUCGACUCCCGCCUCGCGCCUCGAUCCUGUUCCGCCUCCCUCGGCCCUCCUGCCCGCCCCCACUCGUCGGCCCUCAGCUCAGAGACCUAAUAGGAUGGGGUCUUAGAGAAACAUCUUUUGAGCCACAGACUUCUUUGUUACCAGAAGGAAAAUGAAAGAAGAAAUUUAAAUACCACUUGAAGAGAGUUUCCUCAUCAGCAAAGUCAGAAAAAGUAUGUACCUGAAGGACUGAUUGUAAGGCUGGGAUGAGAGAAUCCAUGUGAUCAGCCCUCACCAACAGGUGCUGCCCAGUUCAUGAGUGCUGCUGCUGUCCUGCCCAAGUACCCAGCUUGCAGAGUGCCAGAGUUAGAGUCCCAGGGGUGUUCUCCACAGCUGCAUGCUUGAUCCAGGCCUAUCAGAUAUAUUCCAUUGAAAGUCCUCAUUCUCAAAUUUAAAACAAAGACUUUUUGUGUACCUCAAUAGCAAUGCACACACAGUUGGCUUCACAAACAUAUUGUACAUUUCUUUUUUUCAUAUUUAUUCAACAAAUGUAUAUUGACUACCCACCGUGUGACAGGUGUUAUUUGUUGACGGAACCAGGCAUCAUCAGCAAACAAAACUGACAAAGCUUCCUGCCCUCUGUGGAAGGCAUCUGAGGAAGAGACUGGAUUUUGUAGCAACAUGUUAUUCUCAUUAUAAACUUUAUCAUUGGAAUACUAAAGCCAAAUCAUCCCCCAUCUCCUUGAUCAGGAUACCCACUUAAUCUAGGCAGCUACACAAUUGUGAGAGCCUUUGUUUUUUUCUGCUGAAACAUCCUUAAAAAGAUACCUCACAACCCAAGAUUUGGCUUUUCUUAAAUACGAUUUUUAAUUUUUUUCAUUUCUAUCUAGAGAUUUAAUUGGAAAUGGAAAAUCAUCAAUUUUCCAAUUAAAUGUCUGUUCCAAUCAACAUUAUACCUUUUAGGUUGUCAUUGUCAUUUUUAAGUUUAAGCAACUUUAAGGAUUUUGAAUCUGGCUGCCUGUAAAUUAAAGGUGAAAGUAAUCAUUGUGUUGGAUUGGAACAUUUUGUCAAUUGAGAGUGGUUUCCUUGUUCUUAGUGUAUGAAAAGUUUAUUUUUCUAAUGUAGAUUAAUAAAGGAGAUAAAGAAAAACAAAA
rnacentral:lncRNA from 1 species